rnacentral:rRNA from 1 species
CACGAAUUAAGGCGAGCUAAAUAAUAAUAAUUAAUAGAUUAUCAUAUGUGGCAUAAUAUAACUAAAUUACUAUUUAGGGGUGAUAGGCUAAACAAGUCUUAGGAUAUCUUGAUACCUCAGAAAAACAUUAGUGUUAAGACGACUUAAAAAUGAUAAGGUUUUUAAGGAGCAUUAAUUAUUGAUAAUCGUUUUAUUUAGGUUUAAUCACCAAAUAUACAAUAUUACUAUUAUUGAUGUAAUAAAUUUAUGCGCUUUAAAAGGUAUCACAAAACAUGUGAAAGUGUUUAUAAUGUAGUUAUUAGUAGUCUAACAGGUUAAGUUAAUGAACUCGGCAACAUAUCCUUCAACUGUUUAUCAAAAACAUAGCCACGAGAACUUACCCGUGGUCUUUUCUGCUCCAUGAUUAUUUAAAUAGCCGCAGUACUCUGACUGUGCAAAGGUAGCGUAAUAAUUUGACUUAUAAUUGAAGUCCUGAAUGAAAGAAAGUUUGAGGGGUAACUGUAUCAGCAAAAUUAUAUGAAUUUACUAAAUAAGUGCAAAUACUUUUAUAAAAAUAAUAGACGAGAAGACCCUAGAAAUUUUUAUUACUUGUCGAAAACUAUUUUUGUUGGGGCAACAAGGUAACAAGCAACUUACCGUGAUACGACACGAAACUGUAUAGAGAGAUUAAAUUACUCUAGGGAUAACAGCGUAAUUUUUACUUGAUUGCGACCUCGAUGUUGGACUAGGGAACAACUGCUUAGAA